rnacentral:rRNA from 1 species
UACGAAGGGGACUAGCGUUGUUCGGAAUUACUGGGCGUAAAGCGCACGUAGGCGGACUUGUAAGUCAGGGGUGAAAUCCCGGGGCUCAACCUCGGAACUGCCUUUGAUACUGCGAGUCUCGAGUCCGAUAGAGGUGGGUGGAAUUCCUAGUGUAGAGGUGAAAUUCGUAGAUAUUAGGAAGAACACCGGUGGCGAAGGCGGCCCACUGGAUCGGUACUGACGCUGAGGUGCGAAGCGUGGGGAGCAAACAGGA